rnacentral:rRNA from 1 species
UACGGGGGGAGCAAGCGUUGUUCGGAUUUACUGGGCGUAAAGGGCGCGUAGGCGGCGCAACAAGUCACUUGUGAAAUCUCUGGGCUUAACCCAGAACGGCCAAGUGAUACUGUCGCGCUAGAGUGCGGAAGGGGCAAUCGGAAUUCUCGGUGUAGCGGUGAAAUGCGUAGAUAUCGAGAGGAACACCUGGAGGUGAAGACGGGUUGCUGGGCCGACACUGACGGCUGAGUGCGCGAAAGCCAGGGAGCAAAGCGGG